rnacentral:tRNA from 2 species
GUCACGGUAGCUCAGUUGGUAGAGCAUGGGACUCAUAAGCCCAGGGUCGCCGGUUCAAUCCCGGCCCGUGACACCA